UGGGGAAUAUUGCACAAUGGGCGCAAGCCUGAUGCAGCCAUGCCGCGUGUAUGAAGAAGGCCUUCGGGUUGUAAAGUACUUUCAGCGGGGAGGAAGGGAGUAAAGUUAAUACCUUGCUCAUUGACGUUACCCGCAGAAGAAGCACCGGCUAACUCCGUGCCAGCAGCCGCGGUAAUACGGAGGGUGCAAGCGUUAAUCGGAAUUACUGGGCGUAAAGCGCACGCAGGCGGUUUGUUAAGUCAGAUGUGAAAUCCCCGGGCUCAACCUGGGAACUGCAUCUGAUACUGGCAAGCUUGAGUCUCGUAGAGGGGGGUAGAAUUCCAGGUGUAGCGGUGAAAUGCGUAGAGAUCUGGAGGAAUACCGGUGGCGAAGGCGGCCCCCUGGACAAAGACUGACGCUCAGGUGCGAAAGCGUGGGGAGCAAACAGG
rnacentral:rRNA from 1 species